UUCUUAGUGUUCAGUCAAAACGACUACCUUCUCGCGCCACUCCGCAAGGAGAAAAGGAAACCCCUCCCUUUUGCCUCUCUCCAGUGGUUAUUGCAGAUGCCCAUCUUCUGCGUCUCUACCCGAUUAGUCAAUGAAGAGUGGAAAGGGUCGUAGGACCACCGGUCGUCUCUGAUUGGGUGAAAAAGGAAAGCCCGCCCCAAGUCGGCAGGCACUCUUUUGGCGCAGUCUAGGAAGGGAUCCGAGGAGGUAUGAGGGCAGUUUGCUUGGACGGGUAUUCAGAGGAAGCCUCACUGAGAAGGUGACAUUCUUGCAAAGACCUGAAGGAGAGGAGAGAGGAAGUCCUGUGGAUCCCGGAGGACAACCAUUCCAAGCAGAAGGAACAGCCAGUGCAAAUGCCCUGAGGUGAAAAUGUGCCUGGUGUGUUCCGGGAACUGCCCCUGCGGCUGGAGUAGAAUGGCGGGGGAGAGGGGAUUGGUAAAUGGUAAGCAAUGCUUCUGGAGACGGGAAAAGGGGCAGUUCAGUCUGAGGGGACUGAGGGGCCUCAUGGGCUUUGACUUUUCCUCUGAGGUGGAUGGAGCCCCUGGAGGCUUCCCAGCAGGGGAGGACCCUGAUCUGGCUCAGGUAUUCACAAGAGACCUGUGGCUGCAUGGUGUGGGUGUGGGAAACAGUCUGUGGGAGGUGGGGCGGGAGCCAGGAAGACAGUGAGGAGGCUGAUUCAGGGGAACAGUCUGGAGAACAAGGUGGGUGGGAUCAGGGUGGGGGCCAUGGAGGGGUUGAAGUGGGAAGCUGUGGAUCUGUUUUGAAAGUAGAGCCCGCAGGACAGGCUGGGAGUAAAAGCUACCCAUGCGUGAUUCAAAAUCCCAAAUGUGGGGCUCACAGUGGUGGCCAGGAUCCCCAGCUCCUUUCGGUGCUCUAUCCACUAUGAGAUACUGCUUUUUAAAGGAGAAUCCCUUCCCUCUCUCUCUCCCUUUGAUGCAGACCUGUCCCAUGGCCUCCCCGGACCAGUUAUCUAAUCAGUGAUCUUUGGGGACAAGCAUAACUGCUCUUGGACACCUGCAUCUGGAGGUGGGGGUUCCCCUAGCCAGUAUCCCGUUUUUUUAAUGGUCCCGUCCCCGUGCUUUUCUAAAACCACCUUUUUGCACCGAAGACAUCUCAAGAAUUCCUUCCUCCUCACUGUUCCUGGCGCCUGUCGUGCACGCACCCACCGCAGGGCCUUUGCCCGGCUUUUCUCUGCCUGGAACAUCCUCCCCAGGUGGGUGCCUCUGCCUCUCGAGCCUGUGACUCUUGCCUCUGACAAGGUUUUGCUCAGGUGUCACCCUCUCUGUGACUUCUGAAAAAGUAUAAUCUCUCUUCCUCUUUUAUUUUUUAUUUUUUUUAAGAGAUUU